CCCAGACUCCUACGGGAGGCAGCAGUGGGGGAUAUUGCACAAUGGGGGGAACCCUGAUGCAGCGACGCCGCGUGGGUGAAGGAGCGUUUCGGCGCGUAAAGCUCUAUCAGCAGGGAAGAAGAUGACGGUACCUGACCAAGAAGCUCCGGCUAAAUACGUGCCAGCAGCCGCGGUAAUACGUAUGGAGCAAGCGUUAUCCGGAUUUACUGGGUGUAAAGGGCGUGUAGGCGGGAAAGCAAGUCAGAUGUGAAAACCACGGGCUCAACCUGUGGCCUGCAUUUGAAACUGUUUUUCUUGAGUACUGGAGAGGCAGACGGAAUUCCUAGUGUAGCGGUGAAAUGCGUAGAUAUUAGGAGGAACACCAGUGGCGAAGGCGGUCUGCUGGACAGCAACUGACGCUGAGGCGCGAAAGCGUGGGGAGCAAACAGGAUUAGAUACCCCCGUAU
rnacentral:rRNA from 1 species